UACGUAGGGUGCGAGCGUUAAUCGGAAUUACUGGGCGUAAAGGGUGCGUAGGCGGCUUGCCAAGUCAGAUGUGAAAUCCCCGAGCUCAACUUGGGAACUGCGUUUGAAACUAGUUCGCUAGAGUCCGGCAGAGGAAAGUGGAAUUCCGCAUGUAGUGGUGAAAUGCGUAGAGAUGCGGAGGAACACUAGUGGCGAAGGCGGCUUUCUGGGCCGUGACUGACGCUGAGGCACGAAAGCGUGGGUAGCAAACAGG
rnacentral:rRNA from 1 species